UACGUAGGUGGCAAGCGUUGUCCGGAUUUACUGGGCGUAAAGAGCGCGCAGGCGGUCGUUCAAGUCGCGUGUGAAAGCCCCCGGCUCAACUGGGGAGGGUCACGCGAUACUGAUCGACUCGAAGGCAGGAGAGGGUAGUGGAAAUUCCCGGUGUAGUGGGUGAAAUGCGUAGAUAAUCGGGAGGAACACCAGUGGCGAAGGGCGACUACCCUGGCCUGUUCU
rnacentral:rRNA from 1 species